rnacentral:rRNA from 1 species
GAGUUUGAUCCUGGCUCAGGACAAACGCUGGCGGCGUGCCUAAACAUGCAAGUCGUACGGACUCUUCGGAGUCAGUGGCGGACGGCUGAGUAACGCGUGGGUAACCUACCCGUGAGUGUGGAAUAACCCUCCGAAAGGAGGGCUAAUACCGCAUACGACCACGAGCCUGCGGACUCGUGAGGAAAGCAGUAAUGCGCUCGCGGAUGGGCCCGCGUCCGAUUAGCUAGUUGGUGGGGUAACGGCCUACCAAGGCUUCGAUCGGUAGCUGGUCUGAGAGGAUGAUCAGCCAGACUGGGACUGUGACACGGCCCAGACUCCUACGGGAGGCAGCAGUUAGGAAUCUUGGGCAAUGGGCGAAAGCCUGACCCAGCAACGCCGCGUGGGUGACGAAGGCCUUCGGUCGUAAAGCCCUUUCUGCGUGACGAGACAAGGACGGUAGCGCAGGAAAAAGUCUCGGCUAACUACGUGCCAGCCGCCGCGGUAA